CUUUUGGGUGUGACUGCGUACCUUUUGUAUAAUGGGUCAGCGACUUAUAUUCUGUAGCAAGGUUAACCGAAUAGGGGAGCCGGAGGGAAACCGAGUCUUAAUUGGGCGUUAAGUUGCAGGGUAUAGACCCGAAACCCGGUGAUCUAGCCAUGGGCAGGUUGAAGGUUGGGUAACACUAACUGGAGGACCGAACCGACUAAUGUUGAAAAAUUAGCGGAUGACCUGUGGCUGGGGGUGAAAGGCCAAUCAAACCGGGAGAUAGCUGGUUCUCCCCGAAAGCUAUUUAGGUAGCGCCUCGUGAACUCAUCUCCGGGGGUAGAGCACUGUUUCGGCUAGGGGGCCAUCCCGGCUUACCAACCCGAUGCAAACUGCGAAUACCGGAGAAUGUUAUCACGGGAGACACACGGCGGGUGCUAACGUCCGUCGUGAAGAGGGAAACAACCCAGACCGCCAGCUAAGGUCCCAAAGUCAUGGUUAAGUGGGAAACGAUGUGGGAAGGCCCAGACAGCCAGGAUGUUGGCUUAGAAGCAGCCAUCAUUUAAAGAAAGCGUAAUAGCUCACUGGUCGAGUCGGCCUGCGCGGAAGAUGUAACGGGGCUAAACCAUGCACCGAAGCUGCGGCAGCGACGUUUAUGCGU
rnacentral:rRNA from 1 species